CGAGAGGUUUAGAAGGCCUGCUAACCCUUCAAUCUGGAAAA
rnacentral:tRNA from 1 species